rnacentral:rRNA from 1 species
UACAGAGGGGGCAAGCGUUGUUCGGAAUUACUGGGCGUAAAGGGCGCGUAGGCGGCCUUCUAAGUCGAACGUGAAAUCCCCGGGCUCAACCCGGGAACUGCGUCCGAUACUGGAAGGCUUGAAUCCGGGAGAGGGAUGCGGAAUUCCAGGUGUAGCGGUGAAAUGCCUAGAUAUCUGGAGGAACACCGGUGGCGAAGGCGGCAUCCUGGACCGGCAUUGACGCUGAGGCGCGAAAGCCAGGGGAGCAAACGGG